UUCUUUACUGUCCCCCUCCCUCCCCAUCACCUUUAUUUUGAUGCUAUUUACUUGUGGAAGGAAUGAGGUCAUGCAACCCGUGGAGUUCCCCACUUUCAGAAUCUGGCUGGCUGACUUGUCCAUUGUGGUGUCAUUAAACACAUUCCUCCACCCCCUGUGAGUACUGCAGGUAAAGGCUGGACUAUUGUCUAUCUGUCCUGCAAUCUGCCUGACCAGCCACCCCACCAAAAAAGGAAGUAAAAAUGACAGAUGAGUCACCAUGAGCACUGGUGCUGAAGAAAAUACAGCCCUGAGCAGGACCACACCUCCCCCUCAUGGACUUACUCCCAGGAGAGGGAAGCGAGAGAACAUACACAGGCCCACUGUGGAGCUUCCCCCAGGAAACAAAACGGAUGGGAUGGAACUUCCGGACAUCUCAUUAGGAAGCCCUGAGGCAGAGACUGCGCCAUCAGCCCCAAAACAGGAGAGCAACACCGCCCCCCUCCACAGCCCCAGGAAGGAUUUACGCCUGCCCUGUCCAGUCUCACCCCUACCCUGACAUGGAAUCUUACAAGGAAACUGGCUGCUAUAAUCAGAGCAUCAACCCAGAAGUCCCAAGAAGAAUGUAUUCAGAAGAAAUUCAGAAGAAUGGCACACUCCCUCUUACAAUUAAAAAAAUUAGUAUUAAAAAAUUCUCUAUGCUACAUAUUUUAUACCUAUAUAUCCACCGAGGAUGAUGCAGAGCAAAGAUCUGGAAGGCCAACCUCUACCUGUAAGUGGUUACCCCAGGGAGGGGAGUGACAGUGUGUGUAUGUGUGUGUGUGUGUGUGUGUGAUCCUAUCAUUGACUCCGAAGCUCCAAAACUUCCCAAAGUCACGUGCCUCACCUGUACACCUGCAGACCACCUGUACUAUUAUUUACUUAAGUUAGUCCUUUCAACCAACUCACUUACUAAAACCUUAAUAAGACCAGUGUGGGAUUCGUUAUAUUUUUUCUAAUACUCAUCAAACAAAAUGCACAAAUAUGAGCAUCUGUAAAGCCUGCGUAUCAAUGGAAGUGAACUCUGGUACCAGAAAUGUGCUGACAUCAAAGCCAGAAUGCAGCUUUGAGACAUGACUCUGAGCAAAAGAGGCAGACACAGAACAAUGUGCAUAAUUUACAAUUCUGUUUGUAUAAAGUUGAAAAACAGGCAAAAUGAAACCAUGUUACUUAUACUCUCAUCUGUGAACAAACCUUCAAAAGGCAAGAAAUGGGGACAUGGAAGUCUGGGAGAGGAGUGGC